UGCAGUAUUUUGACUGUACAAAGGUAGCAUAAUCAUUUGUCUUUUAAUUGAAGGCUGGUAUGAAUGGUUGGAUGAAAAAUAUACUUUCUUUAUUUUAUAAAAAUAAAUUAACUUUUUAGUCAAAAGGCUAAGAUUUUAUUAUAGGACGAGAAGACCCUAUAGAGCUUUAUUUUCUUUUUAUAUAAUUUUUUUAGUUUUUAAUAAGUUUAUAUAUUUAUGUUAAUUAUGUUGGGGUGACAGAAAAAAUAAUAUAACUUUUUCUACUUUUUUCAUUUAUGUAUGUUGUUUUUGAUCCUAUAUUAUAGAUAAUAAGAUUAAGUUACCUUAGGGAUAACAGCGUUAUUUUCUUAAAGAGUUCUUAUCGAUAAGAAAGUUUGCGACCUCGAUGUUGGAUUAAAAUAAGCUGAUAGGAGCAGAAUAUUAUUUACUAGGUCU
rnacentral:rRNA from 1 species